GACGAACGCUGGCGGCGUGCUUAACACAUGCAAGUCGAACGAUGAAGCCGGAGCUUGCUCUGGUGAAUUAGUGGCGAACGGGUGAGUAACACGUGAGUAACCUGCCCUUGACUCUGGGAUAACUGCGGGAAACUGUAGCUAAUACCGGAUACGACCCUCGGAGGCAUCUCCUGGGGGUGGAAAGAAUUUCGGUCAAGGAUGGACUCGCGGCCUAUCAGCUAGUUGGUGAGGUAAAGGCUCACCAAGGCGACGACGGGUAGCAGGCCUGGGAGGGGGACCGGCCACACUGGGACUGAGACACGGCCCAGACUCCUACGGGAGGCAGCGGUGGGGAAUAUUGCACAAUGGGCGCAAGCCUGAUGCAGCAACGCCGCGUGAGGGAUGACGGCCUUCGGGUUGUAAACCUCUUUUAGCAGGGAAGAAGCGAAAGUGACGGUACCUGCAGAAAAAGCACCGGCUAACUACGUGCCAGCAGCCGCAGUAA
rnacentral:rRNA from 1 species